rnacentral:rRNA from 1 species
UACAGAGGGGGCGAGCGUUAUUCGGAAUUAUUGGGCGUAAAGGGCGCGUAGGCGGCCAUUCAAGUGACGGGUGAAAGCCCUCGGCUUAACCGAGGAACUGCCUGUCAGACUGGAUGGCUUGAGUUUGGGAGAGGGAUGCGGAAUUCCAGGUGUAGCGGUGAAAUGCGUAGAUAUCUGGAGGAACACCGGUGGCGAAGGCGGCAUUCUGGACCGAAACUGACGCUGAGGCGCGAAAGCCAGGGGAGCAAACGGG